rnacentral:rRNA from 1 species
UACGGAGGGGGCCAGCGUUGCUCGGAAUUAUUGGGCGUAAAGGGCGCGUAGGCGGCCUGUCGCGUCUGCUGUGAAAUCCCGGGGCUUAACCCCGGGCGUGCAGUGGAUACGGGCUGGCUGGAGGCAGGCAGGGGAGAACGGAAUUCCCGGUGUAGCGGUGAAAUGCGCAGAUAUCGGGAGGAACACCGGUGGCGAAGGCGGUUCUCUGGGCCUUACCUGACGCUGAGGAGCGAAAGCGUGGGGAGCGAACAGG